AUUGAACGCUGGCGGCAGGCCUAACACAUGCAAGUCGAACGAGUGGCGGACGGGUGAGUAAUGUCUGGGAAACUGCCUGAUAGAGGGGGAAAAAUACUGGAAACGGUAGCUAAUACCGCAUUCCAUCGGAUGUGCCCAUAUGGGAUUCGGUUGUUUGUGGGGUACCGGCUCACAGAGGCGGCGAUCCCUAGCUGGUCUGAGAGGAUGACCAGCCACACUGGAACGGAGACAGGGUCCAAACUCCUACGGGAGGCAGCAGUGGGGAAUAUUGCACAAUGGGCGCAAGCCUGAAGCAGCCAUGCCGCGGGUAUGAAGAAGGCCGCCGGGGUGUAAAGUACUUUCAGCGGGGAGGCGUUACCCGCAGAAGAAGCACCGGCUAACUCCGUGCCAGCAGCCGCGGUAAUUC
rnacentral:rRNA from 1 species